UGCGCCUCCUUUAUGCAGCCAUUCAUUCAGUUCAGCUGAGCUUCCUCACUCAUUCAUUCGUUCAGGUGAAUGAAUGAUUUCCAUCAGUAGAGGGUUCAGUGUAUCGACAGUUGCCGUUCGCGUGGUGGUUCGAGGCCGAAGGUGCUCCGCUUCACGGCCGACGCAACAAACCCAACUGUCACGGACCGACUUUGAGUGAUUACAUGUUUUAGCUUGUUUUGUGCGACGCGCGUCUUUGUGUUUUCUACCUCUUGUUUCGUUUCUAGUCAGCGUUACCAUGGCAACAUCAAAUCCAAACACCAAACAAACGGAGCCUAAACUUUCGUUGUGUGAACACAGGUUCACAGGAGGACGUUUCGGUGAGGACGAUCUCUUUACAGACCAAGUUCAGGUGCGUAGCUGUGGUUAAUGAGAGGCUGGAGCUUCCUGUGUGACAGCACGCGUCCUCACAGCGAUGGCGAUGCGUGCUUAUGUAAGAGGCAGCAACUCUUUCAGCUGACAGUAUCUACACAAAGAGAAAGCAGCGAGGGAGAGGGAGGAGAAGCCAACCAAUCAGGACGAGGCCUGUGAGGCUUGUCUGGGACUUACACACAUUAACCUUAUUCUACAGCCCACGGUGGCUGCAAUUAGGCAUGUUAUAUUAUGCAUACCUCUAUGAGGAGUCUCAGUCAUCCAGAGACCAGUCACAUCAGGAAAAUCACCUCGUUGACGUGUGCUGUGGGCAACAUUUUAGAACGAUGACGCUGGACGAAGCCCUGGCUGCUUUGGUUUGGAGCCAGAAGCCUCUUGUCUAUGGCUUUUGCAGAAAAGUUUUAAUUAUUGAUUAACAGAUUUGAAAACAAAUUGAGGUGAUUUAACAUUGUUCUUCCUAGAUUUCUAAACUUCCUUUCUAUUGCAUUUAAAAAUAUGAUAUUUUGGUGCAGAAAGCUCGAUUUGAAGGUCUUGUUUUGUACCAAAAAGCAGCAGCGAGCGUUGGACCGAGGAUUUCUAAACAUGUAAAACUACAAUAACAAGCACUGACGUUCACUGUCAACACUCAUUUAUUCACCAACGUCUUUAUUUUUAACAAAUAGAAUCAUCAGAGAGCAGAAACACAGAGAACCAACAAGACAGCAAUAAAGCUUACUCUCUCUCUAUGUGUGUGUGUGUUGAGGUGUGGGUGGAGGGGGUAUUAGUCACCAGAAAUGGCACAGAGCCUCUCUCUCUCUCUCUCUCUCUCUCUCUCUCUCUCAGUAAGUGGGUCACUCCAUCUGGAGCAGAAUAUGGAAAAACAGCAACACAACGUUUUCUACCAAACACCAUCUGAAGUCAGUACAAAGUAAAAGCUUUAAGGCAGUAAAUCGUUAAAUGUCCACCAGUCAGCUGAUUGAGACACUUACUGUAUUAUCUUUUAUACUCACUUCACCACAGACCAUGUUCUUGAUUGUGUUUUACUGGGGACCACCAAGAUACCAGAGACCUUUCAAUUACAUUAAAGUUCUGUUAGUUACGAGGCCACAAGCAUUGCAGCUAAACAAUAUGAAGUGAUUAGAAAAAGAGAUGAAAAUUAGUGUGUGGGACAAAAGUGCAGGGAGGAGGUUCAAACAUCUGUAAGACCAGGCAGGAAGCAGGAAGUUGCCAAACAGCCAGAAGUCACAAGUUACACAAACCAAGACGUACAAAGUCCUUAUUCAUCGAGCUUCAAAGGUGACGCAUAGAGAAGAAGUAAAACCUCUCCUCAAAUGUGGUGAGUGAACCUGGACUUCCACGUGGCGUAACACUAGGCUUAACAAACGCACAAACCUGACAAAACCUGAAUCUCCUCACGCUCAG